UGUGGGUGAGUGAAACGGAUUUAUCCCACGAGCCUCAUAAGCUUGAAAUAGUGGGUUCGACUCCCAUAUCCGCAACUA
rnacentral:tRNA from 1 species